GGUGUAGUAUAGGCUUGUCACCGGUAUAGCCAGUUUAGAAGGUGAAAGGAAAUUAUCAUUUACACUCACUCGUAAAAGGUUCGAUAUGAAUGUAUAAGCCUUGACACAUGAGAGAAAACAGCUUUUUCAGGAAAAUUUGUUAGAUGAAUGAACGAGGGUCUGAAAAGGCUGUUUUCGACAAUCUAGAGGCCCUGAAUUUAAAAUUUUCUGAAAUGUGUGAUUGCGCCAUUUUAAGUUACGCCAAGGUACAUUAACCUAACAAUAUGUGUCAUUGAUGUAAAAUGUUAUAAUCCACAUCAUUAGGCGUAAAACAUAAGUAUAGAACAGGAAAUUUUGGGAUAAUUUACAUUCAUGCUGUGUUUUACAUCGAAAGUAAGUACAAGUGAAAGAAGAAGAGAUUUCAAUAGCAGCAGGAUUUUCGAAAAGACUGUUUGUGUUGACAAUUCUUGGUAUGUGGCGUCGUGGCGAAGAAAAUAAUCUUGCACGCUUAUAGUAAAGAGCAUAAAAAAAGGAAAGAGUCGAAUGAUUUAUAAGAAUGCGUUAAUCUUGUUGUCAACUGUCUUUAAAAAAAUGGUAGACAAGUUUAUUUAAGGUGCAUGAGACAAAUAAUUGGUAUAACCGAUAACAACCCAAUACUUUCGUUCUUCGGUUUACAAUCUGAAUGAAUCAUAUAGGUAGCAAAGAAUGUCAACAAUAGGUCGGAGAGAGAAGUUACUGUUCAUCUUCUUUGCAGAUUAUGAAUUGCCUUUAUAUAAAAACAUGCACUAGCUGUUCCAACAUUUACAACAACAUCCCCGACAUCCCACUUACAGACACUUCACAAAAGCCCUUUUAAAAUCCAUUUCUCGUUUCACAUAAAGAGAUUUUACUAUGAGUACGCUUCAUUGUUGAUCUAGAACAGAGUGCUUUUAAAUUGCUGUCAAAAAAGAGAAAAACAGAAGAGCAAUUGCGUCAUGUCGGUGAUUGCACUCUGCUUUUGUUGACUGAUAUAUUUCAAAAAAGUUGACAAUCUUCUUAUGAAUACCCUGGAAAAGACUUGCUUAUUCACACUUAACCUCUUACAUAAGUCAUUAUGUCAUUGACCGCAAACGACUUCCUCUGUCCCAGACCGCCACUAUUUCCUCUCGGUAUUAACCUUGGUCACUUUGCAACUUCGUUAAAACUCUCUGUCAUAUUCCAAAAAAAAGUUAAUCCAUUUGGCGCACAUUCAAACACGUUCAUUUAUUUGAUGAUUAAAGACGAGGCUUUCUCACAAGACAAAGUUAGCUGCUGAAAUGGUAUCAAAAAAUGGGAUUCAAUGAUUUGUUGAUAAUGCACACGUGAGUUAAUACGUCACAUUGUUAAGUACGUGACGUAUGCAAUGAGUUAUUGUCCGAGGUCGGUCAUGCAAUUGAAACAUUGGCAAUAUCUGAAACGAUCAGGUCAAAAAUCCUUUGGUAAAAUUUGUUUUACAAGUCUUACGCACAUACUGGCAUAAAGAAAAUUUGCCUGAUGAAUGAAAAUAAACUGUCCAAUGCAGCUGAAUCGACUGUCGCAAUGGUACAAGAAGUCCAGAGCAACUUAAAUAAUUCCGAAGGAUAUGUACGAAUACUGACACGCAACAGUAAUAAGUUGAAUUUUCGCAUUUCAUCUAAAGGAAAUAUUAAGAAUCAAACACAAUCUUUAACAAAUAGGGUUUUGAAACCAGCCUAAGUCAUCCAAUGGCCCUUCAAAGUUAGUGAGAGUUGAACCAAGCGGCUAAACCAUAUAUGUAAACACUGUAAACAUGGAAUUGUUAAAAUAUGAUUCAGCUGAUAAGCCGUGAAAAGACACACGGACGGCAGUUUUUUUAACAUUUUUUUCCCCAUAAAUCCACAAUGAGUCUGAUCAUGCAGACAGGCAAGAUCACUUACAAGACUUAACACACAAUCAAAAAAUGCACUGUCAAUCA